rnacentral:rRNA from 2 species
ACUAAGCGUACACGGUGGAUGCCCUGGCAGUCAGAGGCGAUGAAGGACGUGCUAAUCUGCGAAAAGCGUCGGUAAGGUGAUAUGAACCGUUAUAACCGGCGAUGUCCGAAUGGGGAAACCCAGUGCAAUUCGUUGCACUAUCGUUAACUGAAUACAUAGGUUAACGAGGCGAACCGGGGGAACUGAAACAUCUAAGUACCCCGAGGAAAAGAAAUCAACCGAGAUUCCCCCAGUAGCGGCGAGCGAACGGGGAGCAGCCCAGAGUCUGAAUCAGCUUGUGUGUUAGUGGAACGGUCUGGAAAGUCCGACGGUACAGGGUGAUAGUCCCGUACACCAAAAUGCACAGGCUGUGAACUCGAAGAGUAGGGCGGGACACGUGGUAUCCUGUCUGAAUAUGGGGGGACCAUCCUCCAAGGCUAAAUACUCCUGACUGACCGAUAGUGAACCAGUACCGUGAGGGAAAGGCGAAAAGAACCCCGGCGAGGGGAGUGAAAAAGAACCUGAAACCGUGUACGUACAAGCAGUGGGAGCACCUUCGGGUGUGACUGCGUACCUUUUGUAUAAUGGGUCAGCGACUUAUAUUCUGUAGCAAGGUUAACCGUAUAGGGGAGCCGCAGGGAAACCGAGUCUUAACUGGGCGUUAAGUUGCAGGGUAUAGACCCGAAACCCGGUGAUCUAGCCAUGGGCAGGUUGAAGGUUGGGUAACACUAACUGGAGGACCGAACCGACUAAUGUUGAAAAAUUAGCGGAUGACUUGUGGCUGGGGGUGAAAGGCCAAUCAAACCGGGAGAUAGCUGGUUCUCCCCGAAAGCUAUUUAGGUAGCGCCUCGUGAAUUCAUCUUCGGGGGUAGAGCACUGUUUCGGCUAGGGGGUCAUCCCGACUUACCAACCCGAUGCAAACUACGAAUACCGAAGAAUGUUAUCACGGGAGACACACGGCGGGUGCUAACGUCCGUCGUGAAGAGGGAAACAACCCAGACCGCCAGCUAAGGUCCCAAAGUCAUGGUUAAGUGGGAAACGAUGUGGGAAGGCACAGACAGCCAGGAUGUUGGCUUAGAAGCAGCCAUCAUUUAAAGAAAGCGUAAUAGCUCACUGGUCGAGUCGGCCUGCGCGGAAGAUGUAACGGGGCUAAACCAUGCACCGAAGCUGCGGCAGCGACACUAUGUGUUGUUGGGUAGGGGAGCGUUCUGUAAGCCUGCGAAGGUGACCUGUGAGGGUUGCUGGAGGUAUCAGAAGUGCGAAUGCUGACAUAAGUAACGAUAAAGCGGGUGAAAAGCCCGCUCGCCGGAAGACCAAGGGUUCCUGUCCAACGUUAAUCGGGGCAGGGUGAGUCGACCCCUAAGGCGAGGCCGAAAGGCGUAGUCGAUGGGAAACAGGUUAAUAUUCCUGUACUUGGUGUUACUGCGAAGGGGGGACGGAGAAGGCUAUGUUAGCCGGGCGACGGUUGUCCCGGUUUAAGCAUGUAGGCUGGUUGUCCAGGCAAAUCCGGAUAAUCAAGGCUGAGGUGUGAUGACGAGGCACUACGGUGCUGAAGUAACAAAUGCCCUGCUUCCAGGAAAAGCCUCUAAGCAUCAGGUAACAUCAAAUCGUACCCCAAACCGACACAGGUGGUCAGGUAGAGAAUACCAAGGCGCUUGAGAGAACUCGGGUGAAGGAACUAGGCAAAAUGGUGCCGUAACUUCGGGAGAAGGCACGCUGGUGUGUAGGUGAAGUCCCUGCGGAUGGAGCUGAGACCAGUCGAAGAUACCAGCUGGCUGCAACUGUUUAUUAAAAACACAGCACUGUGCAAACACGAAAGUGGACGUAUACGGUGUGACGCCUGCCCGGUGCCGGAAGGUUAAUUGAUGGGGUUAUCCGUAAGGAGAAGCUCUUGAUCGAAGCCCCGGUAAACGGCGGCCGUAACUAUAACGGUCCUAAGGUAGCGAAAUUCCUUGUCGGGUAAGUUCCGACCUGCACGAAUGGCGUAAUGAUGGCCAGGCUGUCUCCACCCGAGACUCAGUGAAAUUGAACUCGCUGUGAAGAUGCAGUGUACCCGCGGCAAGACGGAAAGACCCCGUGAACCUUUACUAUAGCUUGACACUGAACAUUGAGCCUUGAUGUGUAGGAUAGGUGGGAGGCUUUGAAGCGUGGACGCCAGUCUGCGUGGAGCCAACCUUGAAAUACCACCCUUUAAUGUUUGAUGUUCUAACGUUGGCCCCUUACCGGGGUUGCGGACAGUGUCUGGUGGGUAGUUUGACUGGGGCGGUCUCCUCCCAAAGCGUAACGGAGGAGCACGAAGGUUAGCUAAUCCUGGUCGGACAUCAGGAGGUUAGUGCAAUGGCAUAAGCUAGCUUGACUGCGAGCGUGACGGCGCGAGCAGGUGCGAAAGCAGGUCAUAGUGAUCCGGUGGUUCUGAAUGGAAGGGCCAUCGCUCAACGGAUAAAAGGUACUCCGGGGAUAACAGGCUGAUACCGCCCAAGAGUUCAUAUCGACGGCGGUGUUUGGCACCUCGAUGUCGGCUCAUCACAUCCUGGGGCUGAAGUAGGUCCCAAGGGUAUGGCUGUUCGCCAUUUAAAGUGGUACGCGAGCUGGGUUUAGAACGUCGUGAGACAGUUCGGUCCCUAUCUGCCGUGGGCGCUGGAGAAUUGAGGGGGGCUGCUCCUAGUACGAGAGGACCGGAGUGGACGCAUCACUGGUGUUCGGGUUGUCAUGCCAAUGGCACUGCCCGGUAGCUAAAUGCGGAAGAGAUAAGUGCUGAAAGCAUCUAAGCACGAAACUUGCCCCGAGAUGAGUUCUCCCUGAGACUUUAAGUCUCCUGAAGGAACGUUAAAGACGAUGACGUUGAUAGGCCGGGUGUGUAAGCGCAGCGAUGCGUUGAGCUAACCGGUACUAAUGAACCGUGAGGCUUAACC